rnacentral:rRNA from 1 species
GACGAACGCUGGCGGCGUGCUUAACACAUGCAAGUCGAACGGAAAGGCCCUGCUUGCGGGGUAUUCGCGUGGCGAAAGCGUGAGUAAAACAUGUGAGUUCUCCGCUGUACUUCGGGGUAUGACUGGAGAACAGGGUGUCUUAUCCGAUAUGGGACAUCCUUCGUCUGAUGGUUGGUUAGUAUUUUGGGUGUAGGAGGAGCUCGCGGCCUAUCUGCUAGCUGGUGGGGUAAUGGCCUACCAAGGCGGCGACGGGGAGCCGGCCUGAGAGGGUGGACGGCCACAUUGGGACUGAGAUACGGCCCAGACUCCUACGGGAGGCAGCAGUGGGGAAUAUUGCACAAUGGGCGCAAGCCUGAUGCAGCGACGCCGCGUGGGGGAUGACGGCCUUCGGGUUGUAAACUCCUUUCGCUAGGGACGAAGCUUUUUGUGACGGUACCUAGAGAAGAAGCACCGGCUAACUACGCG